CCAGCCGUUCGGGUGCGGGCUGUGCGCGGCUGCCAUUUUGGAGUCGGGCAGCUGAGAAGGCGGCCGGUCCGGCCCGGGGGAAAGGAAGGAGCCAGUCAGAUGAGAAGAUCAAGGUCCAAAGUAUUGGGGAGAAAUGGCUGUAAUCACAAACCUGACCCCAUAAAGCCGUCUGUGAUUGCGCCAUCUCCCGGAGGUGAGCCCGCGGAGUAGCUGCACAGGAUCCAGCCACAUCUCUUGGCUCUUGGUAUUUGCCCAGGAAUUUACUUCAUCCCCCAGGCUCAGGGAACUCAUUUCUAAUCUCUUAGCUUUUCUUCCAAAUAUUUUGUCUAUGCUGCUAGGUCUUUCUUCUUUCUCCUAAGCAGCUUCUGGAACCAAAAUCCAGGAAGACACUCUUCUUUCUCUGCCUCUUGCUAUCACGUCCCUGCUCUGCGAUAAGAAGCUUGAACUAGGCCAGUGGCCUGAAUGAGGGGAAGGAAGGAGGAGAGUAAAUAUGGGGGACAGGGAUCCACUGAUAUUAUGCUGCCACAUUAAUAUGGCUUUCAUGGGUCCAGGGCCUGCAAGAGAGUAAGUCAGCCCCAAAUGAAACCAGACACCGAGCAAAAAGUGAACUUUGAUAGAACAGUUAAAAUAAAACUUCCAGUACCAGAGCAGUUUUCCUAUAGGCUCUUCACAUUUUCUGCAGGGUGGUAUCCAGAGCUAAGCAACUUUUAGACACGACACUGAGAAUAAAAGGAUCUUCUCAAGGAUGGGGUGAACGAUGAGCUCCACAGUGGAACAUGGAGGCCUUUUGGCCAGACUGGGGUGUCGGGAGAGGUGAUGGGAAGAAAGGGGCAGUAGCUGCACACCUUGAGGCUCUCUCACUUACAGUCUCUCUAGAACCUUCCUGCCUCUAACUUGGUGUUCCUGCUCCAAGCAGAUCUGAAGUCCCCUCAUCCACUCAAAACCAUUGACUUCCUAUUCUGGGCUGCAUAUUGGGGAACAGGUAGUCCUAUUUCGGUCUUGGCAAGUGUAUCUAAGUCUCCUGUUGAAUAAGCUUCUUUGGACUUAAGGAUUUUACAGUUUAGAUGGGGGAGGGAGUUGCCCUUGGGAAGACAUGUGAAAGGGUGGUCUCCUGCUGAGGUGUCCGAGAAGGCUUCUGAGUUGGGCAGGAAGGGAUAAGGUGGGAGGAGUCCCCAGGGCUCUGGGGACAGGGCAAGCUCUAACAGGACUGGCCGCAGGCUAGCUGCCACUUACUUGGUUGGAGGCUGAUCUGGCCCAGAAACAGCCCCAAAUUUCCAGAAGCAGUGAUGGCUAUACAUUUCAAAUUUGAUCAUUAUGAACACACAUGUUGCUCAUUCGAAAGAGCUAAAUGCUGCAUGAUUCGGCAGGGAGAUUGUAUUUCUCUGUUUCUCAACUUGCGCUGUUUGAAUCAGGAGCCUAGGGGAGGAACACGGAGGUGGAGGAUCCUUCACAAUGUGAAAGCAACAAACUCUCUCCCCCUCUCCUCUUGGAGAGAGAGUGGCAGCUGACUUUAAAGAGCCUGUAUUGCAGGCAAAGAAGAGUUUGUUGGCAAACCAUGUAGGAGGCACCGGAGUGAUAAAUCAGAGCUUUUGCGGCAAUGUAUUUUUAUCACUGACUGCUUGGCUAAGGCUCGUUUGUUCCAAGUGGGCUGCCUUAGCUAAGUAUGCUCAGUAUGGAGCGAGCUCCUUGAGAACACAGGUUUGUUCAAGCAAUCCACAAAGAUCCCAGGUUAACAUUUAUUUUACUAAAGGAGGAUAGUAUGAGAAGGUAGGAGGCUCUUUGGCCCACUAACUCAUGAAAUAGGAUUAUGUUUCUCCAGCUGUGAAGAGUGAAAGUUAAUAUCCUGUUUGAGGAACCUCAACCAUGUCACCUAAAGGCCAAUUCCAUGUUAUGGAAACAAAUGAAAAGACUCAUUUGGAGAAAGUCCUCAACAUUCCAGAGCACACAGGAAAUAAUUACAGAGUAUUAUUUUUGAGUGAAUGUAGCAAGAAAAUAUAAUCCUUGGGUAAAUAACCAGAAUGGACUAAAGACAUAUCCAUUAAACCGUAAACAAUGAUCUAGAUCAAAUUACUUGUUUAGCUCAUAAACAUACAAUAAUAGGUGCUUUUGCUUAUGUCAAUAAGAUAAUCUUUAGAGAUGUAUGAGUGACUUCUGGCCUGAAAUGUAGUUCAUAAAGUGAUUAUGGAAUUACGAAACAAUAAAAAUGGCCUGGGAAAACAUGCUAGGACUACUUUGCAGCCACUAAUCUUUUACAUUGACCCAAGGUUUUUUUAAAAAAAAAAAAAUGCCAGUCAUUUCUAGAACUAUCUAGAACAGGGCUCAGCAGACUUUUUCUUAAAGGGCCAGGCAGUAAAUAUUUUAGGCUUUGCCACUCUGCCAUUGUACACAAAAGUGACCCCAGACAAUCUGUUCAUGAAUGGCUAUGCUGUUCCAAUAAAACUUUCUAUACAAAAACAGGUGACUGGCCUGUGGGCCAUAGUUUGCUGACCCUUGAUCCUGAACAACUACAGAACAUCACUGAACAUCACUGUGUAACCACUCUGUCCCCUACCUAGCCUCUGUCACAGUUGGCCACUUGGGUAUGUACAACUUGUGCCUUGAGUCGUGCCCUAAUUCUCUUUCAUGCAUUUGAACUGAGACUAGAGGGAAGGUGCAGUUGGUGGCAGAGAUGUAACCAGAAAGGUUAUAUGGGCCUCAGGGGUAGGAAGGGCCCCAUGUGGGCCUUGUAUAGGACGUGUUAACUGAAAAAGCAGAAGUAAAACAGAGAAAGGGUUUCAGUUUCUUUUCAGUUCCGUGAUCUAUGAAGACUGACGGUUCAUUAGGAAUCCUUAUAUUCUAGUGAGACCACUUUGUGGACUUAUAAUAGCCUCUCUUACCCUUUUCUUGAGUUGUGUUCAUCAGGUCUUUUCUCAGUAACUAAAUCACAUGGUGCUGUAGGAGGUACGUUUCUUGCCACAACCAAAACUGUAUUUAAUGCAUUUUAGAUCUGUCAUCCAUGAAUAUAAGAUCUGUGAUCUACUUAAUUUCUAUACCAGCUGCCAGUAACAAAUCCAAACAAAUUCUCCUGACUUUUCAAUCUAUCCUUUCUGUUCCCAUCCCUCCACUAUGGCCUAGUACCUUAUCACUCCUAUCUGGAUUUCAGCCAGUCUCCUAGAAAGCUCCUUUGCCUCUGUUCAUUCCCUAUUCUUAGCCAUCUGUUGUCAGAGCUGUUAGAGUAAUUUUUACAAACCUACUUUCAUCAAUCACUUAGACUAAAAGUCUAUAACCCUU